GCUCCUCUUCAUGUGUGCUCCAUACAUGCAUCCACAGCCCAUGGUCAGCAAGACCCUGGAAUAGUAGGAGCCUUGGGGAUCAGAGUCAACCAUUAGCACCGAGAAUAAAGUUCCCAUUCAACUUCCACUCCCCUCAAUGUGGAGUCAGCAGAUCUAACUGACUGCCUCUGGCCUCAGUCUCUUUAUCUGUAAAACAGGGGCAGUAACCUCUCCUGCUUACCUCCCAAGGGAGAAUGAGACUGGGCUUUAUAAGAGGUCCCGCCCCCACACGCAAAUACCAGUUCCAGCACAAACACUUUGGGGUAAUGAAGCACCCCUACUGGCCCUCUGAAACUGGGAGACAGGAUGAGGGGCUGAGGAAGGGCUGCUGGGGCAUGUUAGUUCCCCCAACAGGUGGUCUUCAGCAAAAAGUCUUCGCCCCUCACCCCCACCCCCCACUUCCAGCAUCCCCACUCCUGACCCAGGUGGCCAGGGAGACAGUGAGGCAGCAGAUAGACACACGUUCAUUAUCAUCAGCCAAGCCCUAGGGCUCAGACUGGUCCUGGUAGGGUCUCAGUUCCUGUCCCUGCCCCCCACGCCUAAGAAACAUCUAUACCACCUUUUUCCCUGAAAAGGACUUGGUGAGGGCGCUUUCCAGGAGGUCAUUAGUGAUGAAUGAGGCCUCAGCAUCCAGCAUGCUAAUGCCCUGGGGCUCAAAGAUGUCUACCAGGAUCUGCAAUGUGCAAAGGUAAGGCGAUGUUACUCAGUGACCAUACAGAUGCCAACCUCUAGGACAGGGCCCACAGAGAUGGGUCAGGGAUGAUGCAGGGACCAGCUUCUAGCACAACUCUGUGACAGCCAUACCUGAUGUCUCCCACCAAGAAAAUGACCCAAAGAGCCUAGGAAUGGUACUAUAACCCCAAAGCUCACCAAUGGCCUGCCAGAUGGUGUCCAAUUUCCACCAUGAAAUCAUUUCAGAUCUCAUGUAGGUAGAGCACCAUUAUAACCAGUUACGAGCUAUACAGAGGCAUUUCGUGAUGUUGCCCAAGGGCUCAGCAUCCAAAGAUCUGGGUGAGUCCAGCCCAGCCUCCUCCUCCCCUUGGCCCAGUUGCUUUGGCCAGAGCCAUUGUAAUUCCCCCAAGCUUCCUCAACCAAGACUUGGACUUCUGUGACUUUGACCUUGCUCCGAGGUCUGCCCCAGGCGCCCUUUCCCAACCUCCCAUCCUGUGCCCACAGUUUCAGCAGGGCCUGCAGAGGUGUUUGAUUACCUCAAAGUCCUUGACCAGUUGUUUGGGCUUGACCUUAAGAUACAUCUCGUAUUUGCCCUUGUUCCUCUUCAGCAGCUCUUCGUAGGUUAGCUCAAACGUGACAUUGCUGCCCGCAGCCACAUUGACUGACACCGUGAAUUUCUCCAACUUCCGCCCAGAGGCCCUGAAUGGGGUGCAAGACAGCGACUGCCCCACAGACUGCACAACCCCACCCAUCCUGAGCCUUGGGUUCAAGUCAGCCCCUUGAGGGAGACACUACUCACUCUAAGCUUCAACAUCAUACUGGGAUAACCUUACCAGACAUUCUCCCCAAGGCCUGAGGCUCCGAACUUACUUGACCAAACCAGCUGUCUUGCCCUGGGACACAGCCUUUUCAUACUGCUUCUUGGCGACUUCCUUCUCCUUGACAUUACCAGGAUAGGUAACACCAUCGAUGGUCCUGCAGGGAAAGAGUUGCGGGGUUCAUGCUGGGCCAGAAUCCCCAUCCAGAGCCCAGAGCCAGCAGCCACGGGGACACCCACAAUGUGAAGUUGGUGAUGAAAGCGGUCUUGGGCAGCUCCACGUCAAAGAAAACCUCCUUGGCGGCAUCUGCCCGGUUGACGGCACUCGUGGUGACAACAUUGUGAGAAAAGCGGGAGGUCACCUUGCAGCUGACCUUGGUACUGUAGACCUCAAUAUCGCCAGCCUUCUGUGGGAGAGGGGAUGGUGAUCAGUGGUGACCUGCCAACCAGGGCCCUAGAAAGGAGGUCCUCAACCUGGCCACUCCCCUUUCAAACUCCCUUUACAGAUUCCAAAGGCCCUGCCUGCAAAGCUUCCCAGUCAACCGUGAUGGUAGCCCCGUGGCCUCCUCCAUCCCCCUGUCCAGCUGGCCACCACUGUCCUGAUGACAGGCGCCUGGGCAGUCCCGGUGGCCCGGGCAUGGGCUGGCCUUCCUGAGCACUUUCUCCCCUCGAGGAUCAGGGCCUUCUUGGAGGGCAGAGGCCUUGUCUGAUUCAGCCUUUGUUUCUCCCUGUUCACGGGGCCCCACAGGUUCCUUAGCUCAGCCUACCUCAUUGCUCAGCAGCAAGAAGUCACUUAGGAAGGGGAAUUUUGCACCAUGAGAGGAACUUCACAUUAUGCCAAAAAGAGAGGGCGAGGGGAGGGAGCAAGCCAGGAGGCAGGGAGGGUGAACGGAGGACAGCUCUAUGGCGAUGUCUGGGUUACACAUGGCCUCCUUAACCCUGUAAUCUGUUUCCAUGCAGCCUGUAGCCAGUGAGAUCUU